rnacentral:rRNA from 1 species
UGGGGAAUUUUGGACAAUGGGGGCAACCCUGAUCCAGCAAUGCCGCGUGUGUGAAGAAGGCCUUCGGGUUGUAAAGCACUUUUGUCCGGAAAGAAAACGUCGUGGUUAAUACCCGUGGCGGAUGACGGUACCGGAAGAAUAAGCACCGGCUAACUACGUGCCAGCAGCCGCGGUAAUACGUAGGGUGCAAGCGUUAAUCGGAAUUACUGGGCGUAAAGCGUGCGCAGGCGGUCCGCUAAGACAGAUGUGAAAUCCCCGGGCUUAACCUGGGAACUGCAUUUGUGACUGGCGGGCUAGAGUAUGGCAGAGGGGGGUAGAAUUCCACGUGUAGCAGUGAAAUGCGUAGAGAUGUGGAGGAAUACCGAUGGCGAAGGCAGCCCCCUGGGCCAAUACUGACGCUCAUGCACGAAAGCGUGGGGAGCAAACAGGAUUAGAUACCCUGGUAGUCCACGCCCUAAACGAUGUCAACUAGUUGUCGGGUCUUCAUUGACUUGGUAACGUAGCUAACGCGUGAAGUUGACCGCCUGGGGAGUACGGUCGCAAGAUUAAAAACU